rnacentral:misc_RNA from 1 species
GAUGAAGAACGUAGCGAAAUGCGAUAAGUAGAGUGAAUUGCAGAAUUCAGUGAAUCAUCGAAUCUUUGAACGCACAUUGCGCCCCUUGGUAUUCCAUGGGGCAUGCCUGUUCGAGCGUCAUUUACACCCUCAAGCUCUGCUUGGUGUUGGGCGUCUGUCCCGCUGCUUUGCGCGGACUCGCCUCAAAGGUAUUGGCAGCGAUCAUGCCAGCUUCUCGCGCAGCACAUUGCGCUUCUUGAAGUUCUGGUGGAACAGCGUCCAUUAAGCUUACCUUCAUGACUUGACCUCGGAUCAGGUAGGGAUACCCGCUGAACUUAAGCAUAUCAAUAAGCGGAGGA